rnacentral:lncRNA from 1 species
CAUAAUUAGCAGAUUCUAAUACCAUUAUUGGGUCUUAUUUUACAGAGGAGGAAACGGUGAAAUGAAGACACCUGAUUCUAGAAGCUAGAAGCUCAUGAUUCUAGAGCUAGUCAGUGACUGAGCCAAACUUGACACUCGUUCUUUCUGCUAACGAAGUUCAAGCUUUUGACCACCAAUGCUGCACUGCCCAGCGUUCCAGUAUGAGGGGCAAGAAGAGAGUGUCAGAACUGGUAUACCAUCCUGUAAAAUCUCAAAGGUCUGAGCUACGUCUCUGAUGUGAGGUGACAUAAGCC